UGGCGGCGGCUAUAAUGCAAGUCGAGCGGACAGAUGGGAGCUUGCUCCCUGAUGUUAGCGGCGGACGGGUGAGUAACACGUGGGUAACCUGCCUGUAAGACUGGGAUAACUCCGGGAAACCGGGGCUAAUACCGGAUGGUUGUUUGAACCGCAUGGUUCAAACAUAAAAGGUGGCUUCGGCUACCACUUACAGAUGGACCCGCGGCGCAUUAGCUAGUUGGUGAGGUAACGGCUCACCAAGGCAACGAUGCGUAGCCGACCUGAGAGGGUGAUCGGCCACACUGGGACUGAGACACGGCCCAGACUCCUACGGGAGGCAGCAGUAGGGAAUCUUCCGCAAUGGACGAAAGUCUGACGGAGCA
rnacentral:rRNA from 1 species